AUUGAACGCUGGCGGCAUGCCUUACACAUGCAAGUCGAACGGCAGCACGGGUGCUUGCACCUGGUGGCGAGUGGCGAACGGGUGAGUAAUAUAUCGGAACGUACCUUAUUGUGGGGGAUAACGCAGCGAAAGCUGUGCUAAUACCGCAUAAUCCCUAAGGGGGAAAGCGGGGGACCGUAAGGCCUCGCGCAAUUAGAGCGGCCGAUACCUGAUUAGCUAGUUGGUGAGGUAAAGGCUCACCAAGGCAACGAUCAGUAGCUGGUCUGAGAGGACGAUCAGCCGCACUGGGACUGAGAAACGGCCCAGACGCCUACGGGAGGCAGCAGUGGGGAAUUUUGGACAAUGGGGGCAACCCUGAUCCAGCAAGGCCGCGUGAGUGAAGAAGGCCUUCGGGUUGUAAAGCUCUUUUGUCAGGGAAGAAACACCGGCUCUAACACAGUCCGGGAAUGACGGUACCUGAAGAAUAAGCACCGGCUAACUACGUGCCAGCCGCCGCCGUAA
rnacentral:rRNA from 1 species